UCCGCCCCUCCCGACCCGCCCCAUCCCACCCGAGUUCUGGGGGAGGCGUCCCGCCCGGGAGGUGCCCGACGCGCUUGCGGCUUCCCUGUGCCGAGGGGCCCCCCCCGGGAAGCGACCCCUUCCGUCCUGCCGCAGCCGGACCUUUCCCGGGAGGUCCGCGGCCAAGCCCCCUUCGGGGGGCUCGCCCCGCUAAGUCGUCGGAGACCCAGUCAGAACUUAGAACCCGGGGGGACGCAGGACUCUCCUAAUCCGAGGCUAAUCGCUUUCUUUUACAAGUGAGGAAACUGAGAAACGAGAGACUCAAGAACGGAACUGACCGACUCCAGCUCUCACGGAUAGUGAGGAGCGCCGCGUCCCUCGUUUCAAGGGAGGUUUCCUCCUUACCCCAUUCCUUUUGCAGCCACUCUAGCGAUCCAUUACAUUUAGCGGAAUAACAAGCUGCCCGGAGAGGGGCGGGAGAAGGAACCUUUCUCAGGGUCUUUGCCGCGGGAGGAGAAUCAAGAUGACUUGAAGUCCCAGAACAUUGCAAUCUCCAGGAAGAAGUUUGCAGUCACUCCAAGUCUGAUUUGCCUGUUGUUUGUUCCUUGUUUUUGUUUUCCAAAGAGGACUAAUGGUAUCAAGGAGUGAUAUACUGAAUUGCCUAUGAAUUGGAUUUAAGUCAGGCAGAACUGCACAAAGUAUACAAACUGCAUUCAUUCUUUCUUCCAGAAUUAUUGAAGUCCGGUGACAAGACAAAAUGAUGAUUGGCAAUGUCUAGGAUGCAAAAACUUAGUGUUUUUGAUAUAUCACAAAGCUCUAAAUACUUUGAGGUCUUUGGAAUUGUUUUCAUCCACCCAUUCUGCCAGGGGAACUUAUAUUCCCCUAACUCACCAAUGGUUUUGUGUCCUGACAGUUACCCUCAAUCUGGUGUAGACCUUUUGCUGAGUAGAUUUUAUUAGGGCAUGGCCCUGUAUAUGCUAUAGUUUCACUGUCACGGCCACUGCCAAGGUGCCGCUGCACGUCCAGCUGUCCUCCAGAAAGUGACCCCUUUCAUCCUGUCUUAGCCGGUACAGAAGGGUCUUUGCAGAGGGCUCCAGCGACCAUCUCCCACCUUUCCCUGAAUGCUGUGGCCAAGCCCACUGAAUCCUCCCCUUAUUGACAUACAGGACUCGCCCCACUAAGUUCUUCCCAAUGAGGUCAUUUGGAGAUCCUCUAAAUGUCAAAGGUGGAUGAGCAGACGUGAAAAAGGCUCAGCAAGCUAUCACAUCACAAGUGUUGGUCUGUCUAUCCACACAGGAAAGACCAAGUGGAUGAAAGAUGUCAACAUGCAUUUGGAUUCAACAUGCAACAGUAUACUCAAUCGUUUGUCCAACAGUAUGUUGAAUAUAUGAAGUGCACUGAUCAGGAUUCAGAUUUGAAUAGAAGGAGGGGAGCAGACUGAAUUGCUUUAGGGAAAUUGAAAAUCUCUUUUGCUGACUUGGCUUGAGAAGCCAAGCUCCCCAAGGAAGCCAACCCCCAUCUUUUCAAUCUUAAUAUUUAACUGGCUUUGCUGUAUGGAACUGAGAUUUGUAUAGAAUUAUUCUCUCCAAAGACUUAAAACUGAGUAAGACACAGAAAAUGAUGGAGGGGAUGAAGUGGUGUGAAUUAUUAGGCUGCAACUGUGGAACUCUGAAGAACAGGAAUAAAGAAUAUAUAUUAUCAAGAAAUUAUGUGAUGGAAAGAAAAGAUGAAUUGGUGAAGAGUGACAGGUAGAGUGACAGAGUGCUCCACUACCACAAUUGGGAUGUCAGGAGAAAGCAUGAAAGGAUUCUAAAUGUUGGGUUAGUUCCUGUCCUGAACAUUUGGAAAAGUAUGGACAAGAGUAGAUCCAGGCUUGGAUGGAUAGCCAUCUAUAUCAAGAAAAAACACUCAUAACUUGAUGAGAUAACAGAUUCAAUUGAAUAUCGCAAGUCACAUGGACCUGGUCUUCUUCCUUUGUCCUUGAAGAAGACCAAAGAUAU